GACGAACGCUGGCGGCGUGCUUAACACAUGCAAGUCGAACGGAGAGGAAGUGAGUGUGUUUGUUGGUGGGGUCUCGAUCGGGUGCGUAACCCGACGGGAACGUACUCUUUAAUGUGGGAUAACUCCAGAAGACUGUAGCUAAUGGCGACUAGGAGCACUACCUGCUUGGUGGGCGUUGGAAAGUGUCGGUGGGUGGGGAGGGAAUGGCGUCUUAUCUGCUUGUUGGUGGGGUAGUCGAUUAGAAGGCCUUUGACAGGAAGCCGGCCUGAGAGGGUGACCGGCAACAUUGGGACUGAGAUGCGGCCCAGACUCCUCCGGGAGGCGGCAGUGGGGAAUAUUGCACAAUGGGCGGAAGCCUGAUGUAGCAACGCCGCGUGGGGUAUGACGGCCAUCGGGUUGGAAACCACUGUCGCGUGUGACGAAGCGUGAGUGACGGUAAUGGGUAAAGAAGCACCGGCUAACUACGUG
rnacentral:rRNA from 1 species